rnacentral:misc_RNA from 1 species
UUCAUUAGGCUACCUAUUCAAGUAUUUUAUCAAACACUAUUCAUUAGGGCUCCUAUGCCAAUAUUGUGAAUCUGCGUUCGAAAUUCGUAAUAGACUGGAUAAUACACAAGAAGCUAACGUGGAAAUACCUACUGAUUAGAUAAGAUUUUAGUUUAAUGUGUGAUGGCAUGUAGUACCUAAAAUAAAAUAUGACUUGGAAAAUUACACAAAAUAAUUUACUUAUUAGUGAUUUUUGUCUGUCAUUGAUUUCUAAAGAUACUGUUUUUUUUAAUCUGAGUUCAAAAUUUGCCUAACCAACUUCUGUCAUUUAGUAAACAUAGGUUUCAUAUUUUUUAAAUUUAAG